ACAAUGAUGAUGUCACUGAUUCUACUGCUGGCCACCCUGGGGCUCCUUGUUCAGGGUUCAUCAGGACAAAUCAUCCUGACUCAGUCUCCUGGAUCUCAGUCUGCUGUUGCAGGACAGGCUGUCUCUCUCAAAUGUAAAACCAGUACAAGUGUUAGUAGCUACCUGCACUGGUACCUUCAGAAACCUGGAGAAGCUCCUAAACUCCUGAUUUAUGAUGCUACAACUCGUCAGUCUGGAGUUCCAGAUCGUUUUAGUGGAAGUGGAUCUGGGACUGACUUCACUCUGACCAUCAGUGGAGUUCAGGCUGAAGAUUCAGGAGUUUACUACUGUCAGCAGGGUUCCAACUGGCCGUUCACACAGUGAUACAACGUCGUACAAAAACCUCCCUCAGCUGGA